UCCCGCCGCGCGCGGCGGGCGGGGGGCACGGGGGGCCUACGGGAGGCAGCAGUCGGGAACUUUGGGCAAUGGGCGAAAGCCUGACCCAGCAACGCCGCGUGAAGGAUGAAGUAUUUCGGUAUGUAGACUUCGAAAGAAUAGGAUGAAUAAAUGACGGUACUAUUUAUAAGCUCCGGCUAACUACGUGCCAGCAGCCGCGGUAAU
rnacentral:rRNA from 1 species